rnacentral:rRNA from 1 species
UACGUAGGCAGCAAGCGUUGUUCGGAGUUACUGGGCGUAAAGGGUGUGUAGGUGGCCUGUUAAGUUCCGUGUGAAAUCUCCCGGCUCAACCGGGAGGGUGCGCGGAAAACUGGCGGGCUAGAGUACGGGAUGGGAGAGUAGAAUUCCUGGUGUAGCGGUGAAAUGCGUAGAUAUCAGGAGGAAUACCGGUGGUGUAGACGGCUCUCUGGACCGUAACUGACACUGAGACACGAAAGCGUGGGGAGCGAACAGG